rnacentral:rRNA from 1 species
GACGAACGCUGGCGGCGUGCUUAACACAUGCCAGUCGAACGGAAAGGCCCUGCUUUUGUGGGGUGCUCGAGUGGCGAACGGGUGAGUAACACGUGAGUAACCUGCCCUUGACUUUGGGAUAACUUCAGGAAACUGGGGCUAAUACCGGAUAGGAGCUCCUGCUGCAUGGUGGGGGUUGGAAAGUUUCGGCGGUUGGGGAUGGACUCGCGGCUUAUCAGCUUGUUGGUGGGGUAGCGGCUUACCAAGGCUUUGACGGGUAGCCGGCCUGAGAGGGUGACCAGCCACAUUGGGACUGAGAUACGGCCCAGACUCCUACGGGAGGCAGCAGUGGGGAAUAUUGCACAAUGGGCGGAAGCCUGAUGCAGCAACGCCGCGUGCGGGAUGACGGCUUUCGGGUUGUAAACCGCUUUCGCCUGUGACGAAGCGUGAGUGACGGUAAUGGGUAAAGAAGCACCGGCUAACUACGUG